rnacentral:rRNA from 1 species
AUAGAAUUUUAUAUUAACUUUACCUAGCGGUUAAUGCUGGUUUUUUGUUAAUAUUUGGUUGGGAGGAUUAUUAAAUUUAACAAACUUUAUAUCAUUAUAAACUUUGAUUUAAGAAAAUAUAAUGAUCUUCAAUUUGAAAUAGUUAGAGUAAAUUACCUUAGGGAUAACAGCGUAAUAUUUUUUUAUAGACCUUAUAGAAAAAAAUGGUUGCGACCUCGAUGUUGAAUUAAGAUAAAUUUUAAAUGCAGGAGUUUAAUA